GGCUUGGUGUAGCGGUCUGAGUGUUGGACUAGGACUCUGGAGACCAGGGUUCGAGUCCCAGCUCGGCCA